UUAGCUUAAGACCUACGGGUAAUAUCAUAUGUCCGAUCAUAGUUAAACAUUUGAUAAUUGUGAUUCUUUGGCUACAAUGUUUGAAUAUUGCCAUGGGGAGAAUAUAUGAUCGGUUGCCUAAUAUUAGUUCGAAAUGAAUCUAAAUAAAUAGAUAUUUGUAUAUAGUAAAGUUGGAUAAGUAAUUGAAUAAAUUUAUUUGUUUAUUAAGCUCAAGAGCUUAGAGGAUCAAAGUUGGAUAAGGGAAAGGAAAAAGUGAUCGAAUAGCCGCCAAAAUCGUUCGACCACAUCCGAGG
rnacentral:lncRNA from 1 species